GACGGAGGAUGCAAGCGUUAUCCGGAAUGAUUGGGCGUAAAGCGUCCGCAGGUGGCAGUUCAAGUCUGCUGUCAAAGACCGGGGCUUAACUUCGGAAAGGCAGUGGAAACUGAACAGCUAGAGUAUGGUAGGGGCAGAGGGAAUUCCUGGUGUAGCGGUGAAAUGCGUAGAGAUCGGGAAGAACAUCGGUGGCGAAAGCGCUCUACUGGACGGUAUCUGACACUGAGGGACGAAAGCUAGGGGAGCGAAUGGG
rnacentral:rRNA from 1 species